rnacentral:lncRNA from 1 species
AGACUUUGACCUUUGUUCAUCUUCGGUGAAAAAGUUUCAUGACUAGCAAUUCCUUUUGGAAUAUACUCUGCCUGAAAGUGUGGUUUGUGAAGUUUUGGUUUGGUAAGAUGUUGCUGGUGGAACAAAUUCUUAGUGUGGAAUUGGAUCAAGAACAGCUUUAGAGAAACAAGACUUUCUCUUUUCCUGCACAAAGCCUUUCUGAUUUUAUCUAGAGGCAAAUGCUACCCCUCCUCUCUUAAGAAAACUGGACACGACUUCUCCUGAGAAAUCCCCAGCCCCAGCCUCAGUGUAUGGACACCAGAAAGUCAUGUUCCUAGGGCUGGGAGUCAGGCAAUCUCCAGAUGCCAAGGUUCACUGCUUUAGCAUGCGGGCAUAAAAUGGAAAUGCUGUCACAUCCCCAUAUGCAAACGACUUGCCAAAACAGUUUAGUG